GAUGAACGCUAGCUACAGGCUUAACACAUGCAAGUCGAGGGGUCUUGAGGGAGCUUGCUCCUGAUAGACGACCGGCGCACGGGUGAGUAACGCGUAUCCAACCUGCCCUUCAUAUUGGGAUAGCCUUCCGAAAGGGAGAUUAAUACCGAAUAACAUAUCAGAAUUGCAUGAUAUUGAUAUGAAAGAUCCGUCGAUGAAGGAUGGGGAUGCGUGACAUUAGAUAGUAGGCGGGGUAACGGCCCACCUAGUCUACGAUGUCUAGGGGUUCUGAGAGGAAGGUCCCCCACACUGGAACUGAGACACGGUCCAGACUCCUACGGGAGGCAGCAGUGAGGAAUAUUGGUCAAUGGUCGGAAGACUGAACCAGCCAAGUAGCGUGAAGGAUGAAGGUUCUAUGGAUUGUAAACUUCUUUUAUACGGGAAUAAAACACCUUACGUGUAGGGUCUUGUAUGUACCGUAUGAAUAAGCAUCGGCUAACUCCGUGCCAGCAGCCG
rnacentral:rRNA from 1 species